AUUCGCGCAUGUGGUACCUCCUUCAAGCUCACUACGGUCUACGGCCCUACAGAUCAUGCCGAGAAAGAAGCCUUUCUCUUAGAAGUUAUCGCUGCCAAGCCUUCUGACGACUCAAAAUGGCUCAUCAUUGGGGAUUUCAACCUUAUCUACCAAGCGGAGGAUAAGAACAACAACAACCUAGACUUCCGCCUGAUGGGUCUCUUCAGAAGAGCCCUCACCAACUGUCAGCUUAAGGAGCUGAAGCUGCAGAACCGGAGGUUUACUUGGAGCAACGAAAGGGAGACCCCAACUCUUGUGCGUCUGGAUCGGGCUUUCUGCAAUGCUUCUUGGGACCUCAUGUUCGAGAAUCAUGUGCUACAUGCCCUGUCCUCAUCCCUCUCGGACCACUGCCCCCUCCUCCUU
rnacentral:rRNA from 1 species